AUGCACGCUGGCGGCGUGCCUAAUACAUGCAAGUCGGGCGCACGGACGAGAAGCUUGCUUCUCUGAUGUUAGCGGCGGACGGGUGAGUAACACGUGGAUAACCUACCUAUAAGACUGGGAUAACUUCGGGAAACCGGAGCUAAUACCGGAUAAUAUUUUGAACCGCAUGGUUCAAAAGUGAAAGACGGUCUUGCUGUCACUUAUAGAUGGAUCCGCGCUGCAUUAGCUAGUUGGUAAGGUAACGGCUUACCAAGGCAACGAUGCAUAGCCGACCUGAGAGGGUGAUCGGCCACACUGGAACUGAGACACGGUCCAGACUCCUACGGGAGGCAGCAGUAGGGAAUCUUCCGCAAUGGGCGAAAGCCUGACGGAGCAACGCCGCGUGAGUGAUGAAGGUCUUCGGAUCGUAAAACUCUGUUAUUAGGGAAGAACAUAUGUGUAAGUAACUGUGCACAUCUUGACGGUACCUAAUCAGAAAGCCACGGCUAACUACGUG
rnacentral:rRNA from 1 species